rnacentral:rRNA from 1 species
GACGAACGCUGGCGGCGUGCUUAACACAUGCAAGUGGAGCGACGAACCGGGCUUCGGCCCGGGGCAGAGCCGCGAACGGGUGAGUAACACGUGGGUAACCCACCCCGAUGACCGGGACAACCCGAGGAAACUCGGGCUAAUACCGGAUGUGCCCCGUGUCCUCGAGGACACGGUGUAAAGGUAGCUUCGGCCUCCGCAUCGGGACGGGCCCGCGGCCCAUUAGCUUGUUGGUGGGGUAACGGCCUACCAAGGCGACGAUGGGUAGCUGGUCUGAGAGGACGAUCAGCCACACUGGGACUGAGACACGGCCCAGACUCCUACGGGAGGCAGCAGUGGGGAAUCUUGCGCAAUGCGCGAAAGCGUGACGCAGCAACGCCGCGUGGGGGAAGAAUGCCUUCGGGUUGUAAACCCCUUUCAGUUGGGACGAAGCUCCGUCGGUUAAUAGCCGGCUGGGGUGACGGUACCUUCACAAGAAGCCCCGGCUAACUACGUGCCAGCCGCCGCCGUAACAC